rnacentral:tRNA from 1 species
GGGGGUGUAGCUCAGCCGUGGAGCGCUUGUCUAGUGCACAAGAGGCCCGGGAUUCAACCCCUAGCACCACAA